AGUGAACGCUGGCGGUAGGCCUAACACAUGCAAGUCGAACGGCAGCACGGUAAGAGCUUGCUCUUACGGGUGGCGAGUGGCGGACGGGUGAGGAAUACAUCGGAAUCUACUUUUUCGUGGGGGAUAACGUAGGGAAACUUACGCUAAUACCGCAUACGACCUACGGGUGAAAGCAGGGGAUCUUCGGACCUUGCGCGAUUGAAUGAGCCGAUGUCGGAUUAGCUAGUUGGCGGGGUAAAGGCCCACCAAGGCGACGAUCCGUAGCUGGUCUGAGAGGAUGAUCAGCCACACUGGAACUGAGACACGGUCCAGACUCCUACGGGAGGCAGCAGUGGGGAAUAUUGGACAAUGGGCGCAAGCCUGAUCCAGCCAUACCGCGUGGGUGAAGAAGGCCUUCGGGUCGUAAAGCCCUUUUGUUGGGAAAGAAAAGCAGCAGGUUAAUACCCCGCUGUUCUGACGGUACCCAAAGAAUAAGCACCGGCUAACUUCGUG
rnacentral:rRNA from 1 species